rnacentral:rRNA from 1 species
AAAUUGAAGAGUUUGAUCAUGGCUCAGAUUGAACGCUGGCGGCAGGCCUAACACAUGCAAGUCGAACGGUAACAGGAAGCAGCUUGCUGUUUCGCUGACGAGUGGCGGACGGGUGAGUAAUGUCUGGGAAACUGCCUGAUGGAGGGGGAUAACUACUGGAAACGGUAGCUAAUACCGCAUAACGUCGCAAGACCAAAGAGGGGGACCUUCGGGCCUCUUGCCAUCGGAUGUGCCCAGAUGGGAUUAGCUAGUAGGUGGGGUAACGGCUCACCUAGGCGACGAUCCCUAGCUGGUCUGAGAGGAUGACCAGCCACACUGGAACUGAGACACGGUCCAGACUCCUACGGGAGGCAGCAGUGGGGAAUAUUGCACAAUGGGCGCAAGCCUGAUGCAGCCAUGC